CAAUAGCGUAUGUUAAAGUUGUUGCGGCUAAAAGCUCGUAGUUGGAUUUCUGUUGAGGACAUCUGGUCCGCUCUAUGAGCGUGCAUCUAGUUUGGCCUCGGCAUCCGCUCUGCAAACGUUUCUGCGCUUGAUUGCGUGGCACGGAGGUAGGGCCUUUUACUUUGAGGAAAUUAGAGUGUUCACGGCAGGCAAUCGCCUUGAAUAUAUUAGCAUGGAAUAAUAACAUAGGAUCUUGGUUCUAUUUUGUUGGUUUCUAGGGCUAAGAUAAUGAUUAAUAGGGACAAUUGGGGGCAUUCGUAUUGCGGUGUCAGAGGUGGAAUUCUUGGAUUACUGCACGACGAACUACUGCGAAAGCAUUUGCCAAGGAUGUUUUCAUUGAUCAAGAACGAAAGUAAGGGGAUCGAAGACGAUCAGAUACCAU
rnacentral:rRNA from 1 species